rnacentral:rRNA from 1 species
UACAGAGGUCUCAAGCGUUGUUCGGAUUCAUUGGGCGUAAAGGGUGCGUAGGCGGCCAGGUAGGUCUGCUGUGAAAACUCGAGGCUCAACCUCGAGACGUCGGCGGAAACCAUCUGGCUAGAGUCCGGAAGAGGAGAGUGGAAUUCCUGGUGUAGCGGUGAAAUGCGCAGAUAUCAGGAAGAACACCCGUGGCGAAGGCGGCUCUCUGGGACGGUACUGACGCUGAGACGCGAAAGUGUGGGGAGCAAACAGG